rnacentral:rRNA from 1 species
GAUGAACGCUAGCGGCAGGCUUAAUACAUGCAAGUCGAGGGGCAGCGGGGGUAGCAAUACCUGCCGGCGACCGGCAAACGGGUGCGGAACACGUACAGAACCUUCCUUUAAGUGGGGGAUAGCCCGAAGAAAUUCGGAUUAAUACCCCGUAAUAUUAUGGAGUGGCAUCACUUUAUAAUUAAAGAUUUAUCGCUUAGAGAUGGCUGUGCGGCUGAUUAGGUAGUUGGUGUAGGUAACGGCNCACCAAGCCUUCGAUCAGUAACUGGUGUGAGAGCACGACCAGUCACACGGGCACUGAGACACGGGGCCCGAUCCUACGGGAGGCAGCAGUAAGGAAUAUUGGGC